rnacentral:rRNA from 1 species
CCUACGGGGGGCUGCAGUGGGGAAUAUUGGACAAUGGGGGGAACCCUGAUCCAGCCAUGCCGCGUGUGUGAAGAAGGCCCUCGGGUUGUAAAGCACUUUCAGUGAGGAAGAACGCCUGGUGGUUAAUACCCAUCAGGAAAGUCAUCACUCACAGAAGAAGCACCGGCUAACUCCGUGCCAGCAGCCGCGGUAAUACGGAGGGUGCGAGCGUUAAUCGGAAUUACUGGGCGUAAAGCGCGCGUAGGUGGCUUGAUAAGCCGGUUGUGAAAGCCCCGGGCUCAACCUGGGAACGGCAUCCGGAACUGUCAAGCUAGAGUGCAGGAGAGGAAGGUAGAAUUCCCGGUGUAGCGGUGAAAUGCGUAGAGAUCGGGAGGAAUACCAGUGGCGAAGGCGGCCUUCUGGACUGACACUGACACUGAGGUGCGAAAGCGUGGGUAGCAAACAGGAUUAGAUACCCUAGUAGUC